rnacentral:lncRNA from 1 species
GGCGGUUUCCCCAGCUGCCGGUUUUACUCGUAACAUUUUCAUGGAGCGGUCCGUUGAAAGAGAAGCUCGCUAAACGGGUAAUUGUAGGCGUGGAAUAGCAAAAGAACACGUGUUGGAACAGAAGAAAACACGUGGCCCUUGGCCUGGUUUCUAGGGCACGACGUCCUCCAUGCGUCACUGUCCGCCGGGGCCGCCUCUGCCUGCAACAGCUUCUUGGACAAUUUACUUAAAAUUUGCAAAAAUUUUUAGAUCCUAGAAAUUUUAUGUCAAGAGGUAAAGGAGACAGCUAAGGAGACCUCUCUAAGGACUCUCACGCUGGUCACAUCCAGAGAGUCCGUGGUCUAGAGUAGGAAGAAAGCUUCACAAAUUCACAGCGGUGUUUAUCAGUUACUACUGCAAAAGCAGAUGGCGUUUACAUCUUGUCUAAAGCUUUGUUCCUGCAAAGCCUUUGAGACUCGUGUAAUUCUGCUGCAAUUGCUCGACAUCGAUGAGGCUAUUCACCACGCGUAAAUUAAAAGUCCUGGUAAAUCUUUGCAGGGUUUAAAAGACUCUGUGUUCUGAUGAACUGUAGUAACGGUCUCUGGAGUCGAACACGUCAGGACAUGCUGUUUGAAACAGGAGGAAGAUUUCCUCCAGGCAACUCUGAAUGGUGCAGAGGAAACAUAAUGAACCACUCAGAAGUUAACUAGGAUGCUUCUCUGGCGAAAAGUGCUGAGGGGUUUGAAAACAACCACGAGUGCUCUGGAAAGCAGUUUUAUGCCCCACCGAAAGAACGAUGUACAGAAACAAUUACAGGAGAUGAACGUUUCAUGGAGCUGGUUAACAUCUCCUUUGAUGCUGCCUGUCCCAGACUUUGGCAGAGCCCUAGCAGAGAGUUCUGGCAAAAGCACGAGACCUGAAUGCCAGCGGAGACAGCAGCGUCAUCUUCACUGACCAGCACCCAGAGGAUCAUUCUGCUCUGAGCAGGUAGACGGUGUCUGCAAUCUCUCUGCUGCCCUUAGAGCCAGGGUUUGAGGAUGGAGAUGCCAUCAUCCAGCAGGAGUGAUUUAGGUUGCUGACAAGCUGACUUGUGAAUCUUGAUGGCCCGAUUUAAGCUAUGACUGUCACCACCUCUCUGGUGAUUAGCGCCCUUGCAGCAGAGGCUGAAGACAGAGGCACACACCAGUGCUGCAGGCAACCCCCAGGGAUGAAGGGGCACUGUGCAGUAAUGCUGGGCUCUGAACCGGGUGGCAUAGGGGCUGGCAUACGUUCCCUUCUGCCUCUCCCAUAGGUGGAGAGUGGAGGAGGCAGUAGUGCUGGAGCCCCAGGUAGCUGUUUACUCUGUGAAUGUGAGGCAGAGUCCUUACAAAAGCUCCCAAGGCUCCAGAGAUCCCAUGAUAGAAGCAUUGGUCAUGGCCUUGCCGCUCACACUGAGAUUUGAGCACAGUGUGGUGAACCCACAUUAAGGAAACAGGUCCAGGCACUAGCUGCAGCAUGCCAGGGAUCGAUAGUCAGCAUCGUCACGGCUGAAUUGCUGUGGUUACCUGAGGUGCCCAAAGCUAUGCGCUGGGGGUUGUAGUCCCAAAGCCGAUUGCAAUGCGGUUGCUGCCUGUGCUGCCCCAGCCAGAGCGCAGGCGUGACUUGGCUGUAGGGAGGCCUUAUCACUGUGUUCCUCUGUGGGCUUGGGGGUGGGCAUGGGGGAGGAGAAGGAAACGCGAGAGAUUUGGGAUUCGCACUUUCCGCCUCACUUCUGAGCUGUGCAGAAGCACAU